AGCUCUGAUAUUAUAAUAUUGGUUUACUCGGUUUAACGACGAAUCUUCAAAUUUUUUUGAAUAUGUUUGAAUAUUAUACAUGCACUUACAUGUAUUUGGUAACUAUAAUUAGUAAUACUUAGAAUAGCAUAUUAUCGUAUCUUUUAAUCUAAUUUAUAUUUUCAA